UUUGUUGAAGUUCUCACUGUAUUCCUCUAUUCUUCAAGUUUGGUGAGCAUGUUUAUAAACAGUAAUUUUAAAUUUUUUCUGGAAGAUUACUUGUCCCCAUUUCAUUUAGUUCCUUUUUUGAAGUUUUGUCUUAUUCUUUCAAUUGGAACAUAUUUUUUUCCCCUCAUCAUUUUGCCUAAUUCUCUGUUUCUUUGUAUUUUUUAGAUAAAGCAGCUACUUCUCUCAAUCUCAAAAGAGUGACCUUAUGUAGGAAAUAUAUUGUGGGGCUCAUAAGCACAAUUUUGCCUGGCUUCCAAAGCCAGAAACUCAGUGAGUAUUGACUAUGUGGGUUGCAUGGACCUUCUUGUUGUGGCAGGUCCAUGGCUGCUACUGUACUAAGCUGGUAGGCAGGGUUGGCCCCUGGAACAGCUGUAGGGCUUGGCCAGGUGACUGCCACUUGCUGGUGGGUGGAGUUAGUGCUCCAUUGUAUGUGAGAACCAGACACUACACAGGGAUAUGUUGGACUCUCAGUGGGGCUCACCCACUGGCACUAACAAGUUAGAUGAGUAUUUGCAAAGUGGUUCGUGCCAGUGCCAGUAUUAGCAAGGUAAUCUGAAGUUGCAAAAAUUGGUGCUGCUAGUGUGUCUGUCUCAGGUGAUUGUCCCAAAUGGCCCUGUCUUAACGGCAAAUGCUUUAAGAUUAGUAAGUGGGUCCCUUUCACCUAUAAUUCAUUUACUUUUCAAUAUGGUGUUUGUACUGGUCUGGGGACUAAGUAAGUCUGUGUACGAGUACUUUAAUAUUAGGUUUUCCAUUCUCUGUAGCUCUAUAAUUUUCCUGGACAUAUUUUUCACUGGUUUUCAAAGCGAAAUGCUCUGGAGGUUUGUCUCUCCUUGGCAGGAUCUAAUGGUUGGGAUGCCUGAUGUGAACUCAAAUCAUUUACGCCUCAGGGAAAUUAACCAUGCCUUUGUGAUCUUUCCUAAUUGUGGAUCACCACAGCUGAGGCAUGUUUUUCUCCUUGAUUUGGUUGAAUCUCUGUUUCUACUACUCAUUUCAUUGCUGUCCUUUUAUCUGUUGAUGUGGCAACUCUGUUCAUCCACUUUCAGGUUUCUUUCAGAGGGAAUCAUUUCAUAGGUAGUUGUAGAUUUGUUGUGUCCAUGGGAGGAGAUGUAUUCAGGAUCUUCCUAUAUUAAUAUCUUGAAACUUCUCUCUAAUUUAUUUAAUGUUGUUGAUCACCACCAUCAUUAUCUUUAUUAUUCAUGUGUCAGCUCAUUUUCCAAUUUUUUUGUGAUUUUUAACUCAGAAUUACAGAAAAAAGUGCCAGAUUUUAUCACAUGUUUUAGAACAUAGCCUCAGUUAUUCUCAAUGUUUAUGCUACUGAUUUUUAAUAAUUUCUAAUUAUACCAUACCUGUUUAUUGUCCUUUAUCUUAUGAAGGUUGUAUUGAUUUUUAGUCACUUUCAUCUAGUUCUGACUUACAAAUGAUAAUUAAGAAUUUAUAACUGAAGGUACUCAGUAAUGAUCACAUUCAAGGGCAUAAUUAGUUCUGAUUUUAGCUUUCAUCUGCUUUUAAUAUUGGUCAAUGCUCUUAGAGUUCUUAUAUUGUUUAUAAGGUGGUCAUAAUAUAGUUUCUUCCAAAUAAGUGUUCAGAAACACUGAGUUAAUCCCAUUAACUUCCAGUUUACCAGCAAACUCUCAGGAAUCAGUAUCUUGGGCCCAUCAAGCCUUCAUUCAUCCCAGGAAUAUUGCAAAUUCAAUUUAUAUGGACUGAUCAGAACUUAGUUAAUGGGUUAACAAGUGUAAGUACAUUUUGGUGUUCUGGUCCCUAAAUGUAUUCACUACAGUAGAAGAUCCCAGGUAUAAGAGAGUGGCCAAGAUGGCAGAGUAGAAGGACACUCUUAGCUCAUCUUCUCCCAUGAAUACAGCAAGAGAGAUAUCCAUGGAGCCACCAAUUCACUGAGAAUAACUGCUUAACUUUGACAGAACAUCACAUUAUUCAAAAGAGAAAAUUCAUCACAAAUCUGAUAGGUGAAAAAAAGAAGAAGAAAAAGGAAAUUAGUGCGGGAAUGGUCCCACAGGAAGGGAACGUCAAAGGAUGAAUAAUGCCCUUAUGCUGGGACUCCCCCCCCUCCAACGGAGAGAUCAGCAGGGAUGGAGGGGGAACCUCCAAGGCUUGGAUCUGUACAGAGCAGCCCUUGACCCACAGAACUAACUGAAAUGGGCAUGAAGGAUCCCUGCAGCCCCCAGCCCUAGAUGCAAACCAGUUGUGGUGAGAUGGGACAGGCUGAGCCAGAUGGGGGACUGGUACUGACUGUACAGAGAAAACCUCAGAGGGCUAGAUUGUACUGUGUGCUGAAGGAAGGAAAGAAAGAAAGAAAGAAAGAAAGAAAGAAAGAAAGAAAGAAAGAAAGAAAGAAAGAAAGAAAGAAAGGAAGAAAGGAAGAAAAAGACUGUUGGUGCAUGCUGGGGCAGGGACAUCUUAGCCUUUGUCUCUGCAGACCCAUGGCUGGCACCAUUGCUGGCACAUCCUCCAGAGAAGAAAG